CGUAGGUGGCGAGCGUUGUCCGGAUUUAUUGGGUUUAAAGGGUGCGUAGGCGGCCUCAUAAGUCAGUGCUGAAAUAUUCCGGCUUAACCGGGAGGGUGGCAUUGAUACUGCGGGCUAGAAUACAGAUGAGGUAGGCGGAAUUGACGGUGUAGCGGUGAAAUGCUUAGAUAUCGUCAAGAACACCUAUAGCGAAGGCAGCUUACUAGGCUGUAACUGACGCUGAGGCACGAAAGUGUGGGGAUCAAACAGGAUUAGAUACCCUGGUAGUCCACACUGUAAACGUUGAUUACUCGCUGUGUGCGAUAUACAGUACGCGGCCAAAGCGAAAGCGCUAAGUAAUCCACCUGGGAGUACGCCGGCAACGGUG
rnacentral:rRNA from 1 species